CAGUCGCCGCGGGAAUACAGAGGGUGCGAGCGUUAAUCGGAUUUACUGGGCGUAAAGCGUGCGCAGGCGGUUAUAUAAGACAGAUGUGAAAUCCCCGGGCUCAACCUGGGAACUGCAUUUGUGACUGUAUAGCUAGAGUACGGCAGAGGGGGAUGGAAUUCCGCGUGUAGCAGUGAAAUGCGUAGAUAUGCGGAGGAACACCGAUGGCGAAGGCAAUCCCCUGGGCCUGUACUGACGCUCAUGCACGAAAGCGUGGGGAGCAAACAGGAUUAGAUACCCCCGUAGUCCCUGUCUCUUAUAC
rnacentral:rRNA from 1 species